GAUUUGUUUUUUAAUUUGAAAAUAGUAUGAAAGGAUCCACUAUUAAAUAUUGUAUUAUUUUUAAAAAAUGAAAUUAAUUUAUUAAUGCAAAUUUUAAUAUAAAUUUUUAAGACGAUAAGACCCUAAGAAUCUUCAUUUAAAAUAAAAAUAGUUUUAAUUAAAUCAAAGUUUUAAAUUUAAUUGGGGAAAUAAUUAAUAUUAAUAUUUAUUAUUUUUGUUUUAUUUAGAUCCUAAAAGAGACACUGAAAAAGAUACUCUAGGGAUAACAGCAUAAUAUUUAAUCAAGUCCUUAUUUAGAUAAAUGA
rnacentral:rRNA from 1 species